AUGAACGCUGGCGGCGUGCCUAAUACAUGCAAGUCGAGCGAACAGACGAGGAGCUUGCUCCUUUGACGUUAGCGGCGGACGGGUGAGUAACACGUGGAUAACCUACCUAUAAGACUGGGAUAACUUCGGGAAACCGGAGCUAAUACCGGAUAACAUGUUGAACCGCAUGGUUCAACAGUGAAAGACGGUCUUGCUGUCACUUAUAGAUGGAUCCGCGCCGCAUUAGCUAGUUGGUAAGGUAACGGCUUACCAAGGCAACGAUGCGUAGCCGACCUGAGAGGGUGAUCGGCCACACUGGAACUGAGACACGGUCCAGACUCCUACGGGAGGCAGCAGUAGGGAAUCUUCCGCAAUGGGCGAAAGCCUGACGGAGCAACGCCGCGUGAGUGAAGAAGGUCUUCGGAUCGUAAAACUCUGUUAUUAGGUAAGAACAAAUGUGUAAGUAACUAUGCACGUCUUGACGGUACCUAAUCAGAAAGCCACGGCUAACUACGUG
rnacentral:rRNA from 1 species